AUAACCCGGGAAACUGGGUAUAAUACCCGAUAGGUCUCGAUUGCUGGAAUGCAUCGAGAUUUAAAGCUCCGGCGCCUAAGGAUGGGUCUGCGGCCUAUCAGGUAGUAGUGGGUGUAGCGUACCUACUAGCCUACGACGGGUACGGGUUGUGAGAGCGAGAGCCCGGAGAUGGAUUCUGAGACACGAAUCCAGGCCCUACGGGGUGCAGCAGGCGCGAAAACUUUACAAUGCUGGCAACAGCGAUAAGGGAACCUCGAGUGCCAGGUUACAAAUCUGGCUGUCGAGAUGCCUAAAAAGCAUUUCAUAGCAAGGGCCGGGCAAGACCGGUGCCAGCCGCCGCGGUAACACCGGCGGCUCGAGUGGUAACCGUUAUUAUUGGGUCUAAAGGGUCUGUAGCCGGCCGGAUAAGUCUCUUGAGAAAUCUGGCAGCUUAACUGUCAGGCUUUCAGGAGAUACUGUCUGGCUCGAGGUCGGGAGAGGUUAGAGGUACUCCUAGGGUAGGGGUGAAAUCCUAUAAUCCUGGGAGGACCACCUGUGGCGAAGGCGUCUAACUGGAACGAACCUGACGGUGAGUAACGAAAGCCAGGGGCGCGAACCGGAUUAGAUACCCGGGUAGUCCUGGCCGUAAACGAUGUGGACUUGGUGUUGGGAUGGCCUCGAGCUGCCCCAGUGCCGAAGGGAAGCUGUUAAGUCCACCGCCUGGGAAG
rnacentral:rRNA from 1 species